rnacentral:rRNA from 1 species
AAUGGAGAGUUUGAUCCUGGCUCAGGAUGAACGCUGGCGGCGUGCCUAAUACAUGCAAGUCGAACGCUUCACUUCGGUGAAGAGUGGCGAACGGGUGAGUAAUACAUAAGUAACCUGGCAUCUACAGGGGGAUAACUGAUGGAAACGUCAGCUAAGACCGCAUAGGUGUAGAGAUCGCAUGAACUCUAUAUGAAAAGUGCUACGGGACUGGUAGAUGAUGGACUUAUGGCGCAUUAGCUGGUUGGUAGGGUAACGGCCUACCAAGGCGACGAUGCGUAG